rnacentral:sRNA from 1 species
GGCCCUAGCUCGUCGGCUGUGUAUUGCGCGUGGAGGCUGCAGUCACGGUGGCGCCCGCGGGGACGGAGGAGGGAAUGAGUGAAGAGGAGCAAGGCUCCGGCACUACCACGGGCUGCGGGCUGCCUAGGUCAGGGCCCCAGCAAGAAGGCAGCCAAGCACAAGGCAGCUGAGGUGGCCCUCAAACACCUCAAAGGGGGGAGCAUGCUGGAGCCGGCCCUGGAGGACAGCAGGUGAGGGAGGAACCGAGGCAUCCCAGAAGCCCUUCAAGGAACCCAGGCCCUGCACCACCCACUCUGCCCUGAGGCCUGGCCAGGUGACACUUAGCCACCCUGACCUGGCCUCUUCCUGAGAGUCCCUCUGGACCUGAACAGGGUUUUCCAGGGCUUCUGCUGCUAUGAAGAAUUCUUGGGGUGGAGGGGUUGGUUAGCCCCAUAGAGGGGUUGUGGCAGUAGGUUGGGGCCUGGGUUAGGGAGGGAGAGGGGUAGAGGCUUGAGGCUAAAGGGAGUUACUCCCCAACAUACCUCCUUGUUCUAGCAAGAUGUCCUUCCUUCACGCGCAGGUUGGAGUUUGUUG